GCGUAUGUAGCUCAGUGGUAGAGCGCGUGCUUAGCAUGCAUGAGGUCCUGGGUUCAAUCCCCAGUAUUUCCA
rnacentral:tRNA from 1 species